rnacentral:other from 1 species
CUGCUGCGGCUGUGUUUGCCGUUCGCGGCAUUACAGCCCGUUAAACCCACAUCUCUUAUAAGGGAUGCCGAUUUGAGCCUGCGGAUUGCAGGCCUCCCGGCUUUUGCUGGAAGAAGGAAGCGUGAAACAGGACUUAGGCGACCCACCUGCUACUUUUGUGCAGGUUAUAAUUGGGCUGGCACGGCACAGUGGGAUCCCC